AUGAGUAAUGAUGUAAUCUCUAUUUGCUCCUGGAAUGUACGUGGAUUAGGUGAUGACGAUAAGUGUAACGCUAUCCUCUCUGAACUGCUAGCGAUCAACCCUCACGUGGCCCUCUUGCAAGAAACCAAACUAGAAUCCUACACCAACACCAAGCUCCGCUCUUUUCUCCCCUUCCACCUCGACCAAGCUUUCUCUCUGCCCGCCAUUGGCAUGGCCAGUGUAGGUCUUUCAGGCCAUAGUAGUUCUUACAUCGAGUUGCAACAGAAUGCAAUCGAGCGGGCAAUUUUGUCAGGUUGCAUUCACACAAAGCCUUCUCCUCCACCCAUCGCCAUCACCAACAUCUACGCUCCCUCUUCACGUGCCCUCAAGCAAUCUUUCCUAGACGAGCUCCUUUCCAUCGCGCAACCUGACCAGGUGCCUUGGAUAAUCGUCGGCGACUUCAACCUCCUCCACUUUCCCUCAGACAAAAACAAAUCCUCCUUUCGACAAUCAGAAGCUAACGCCUUUAACCAAGUGAUCGACACUUUAGCUCUCAUCGAGCUGCCUCUCCUCGACCGACAAUUUACGUGGACCAAAAACCGUGCCUCGCCCACUCUGGAAAGGAUCGAUCGGGCCUUUUUUAACUUAGCAUGGGCAGAUGCUUUUCCCAACACCUCUCUGUCCUCUCUCACAAGUUUUACCUCUGACCACGUACCGCUGCUCGUGCACGUCACCACUAUGAUUCCACGUACCAACUUUUUCAAGUUUGAGCAGGGUUGGACCAAAUUUAGCAUGCAACGACAUCAUCUCUCAGUAUUGCUCACCCUCGCCCUCUCCGUCAGCCAACUCGGCUGCCACCAUCGCAGCAGCUCUCAAAAAAUCAAGAUCUGA
rnacentral:rRNA from 1 species